AAGCCAGUCUGGGCUAGAUAGUGAUGUUCAAGAAACCAAGGGUUACAUACGCAGAGAUUUAGAUAAAGCUGGCAAUAAUAGUGCCAUGAUAUGAGCCGUAAGGACAAUUAGUCAUUAAGGUCCUUGAGAACAACUACAACA
rnacentral:snoRNA from 1 species